GGUCUCAUCUCUACAGCUGCAACAAGAGCAGAUGGGUGUGAGGUCCAUACCUUUGUCCCUCAGCACAGACCUGGUUGGAAGGUGACCCUAAGCUACCUUCCACACAAACAAACUCGCACUCGGAUGAAUCCGAGUCUCCAAAUCCACGCCCCAUCCAAACAUCUGGCCGACUCUUUCUUAUACAAAUUGUAGAGGUCUCUGGUCACCAUUCUCGAAUUGCAUAAAGAUCUCCACACC
rnacentral:lncRNA from 1 species